rnacentral:rRNA from 1 species
GACUACAUGAAGCUGGAAUCGCUAGUAAUCGCGGAUCAGAAUGCCGCGGUGAAUACGUUCCCGGGUCUUGUACACACCGCCCGUCACACCAUGGGAGUCGGAAAUGCCCGAAGUCAGUGACCCAACCGUAAGGAGGGAGCUGCCGAAGGUGGAGCCGGUAACUGGGGUGAAGUCGUAACAAGGUAUC